rnacentral:rRNA from 1 species
GACGAACGCUGGCGGCGUGCUUAACACAUGCAAGUCGAACGGAAAGGCCCUGCUUUCAGGGUACUCGAGUUGCCAACGGGUGAGUAACACGUGGGUGAUCUGCCCUCCUCUUCGGCUUAAGCCUGUUAAACUGGGUCUAAUACCUGCUAGGAGCUAUUUUUAGCGUGAUGGUUGGAAAGUUUUGUCGGUGUUGGGUGAGCUCGCUGGCUAUCAGCGUGUUGGUGGGGUAAUGGCCUACCAAGGCGGCGGAGGGUAGCCGGCCUGUGAGGGUGGACGGCCACAUUGGGACUGAGGUACGGCCGAGACUCCUACGGGAGGCAGCAGUGGGGAAUAUUGAAGAAUGGGCGCAAGCCUGAUGCAGCGAGGCCGCGUGGGGGAUGACGGUCUUAGGGUUGUAAAAUACUUGCGCAAGGGACGAAGCUUUUUGUGACGGUACCUAGAUAAGAAGCCACGGCUAACUACGUG